rnacentral:lncRNA from 1 species
UCUUGAGUUCGCGUCUUGGUACGGUGUCCGGUUUAAUUCUGUUGUAGUACAAUGUUUGUUUUGUUCAGAUUUGCAGAUUUGCUCCGAUUUAGAUUCAGUGCAGAUUCACACGUACUCUACUUACUUGAAUAAAUGAAUAUUGUUUGUUGUUAGUCUAAAAAAAAAGAAAAACAUAGGUCCCGUAGAAUUCACACGAAAGAUUAUGUCCCCAUAUUAAUAUAUGACUAUAACUCGUAAAAUUAUAAAAAAA